rnacentral:rRNA from 1 species
GACGAACGCUGGCGGCGCGUCUAAGACAUGCAAGUCGUGCGAUGGGGAGCAAUCCCUGUAGCGGCGAACGGGUGAGUAACACGUAGCUAACCUGCCCUUUGGACCGGGAUAACGGGACGAAAGUCCCGCUAAUACUGGAUACGCUCUGCGGAGGAAAGCGGGGGAUCGUAAGACCUCGCGCUGAAGGAGGGGGCUGCGGCCUAUUAGCUUGUUGGUGGGGUAACGGCCCACCAAGGCGAAGANGGGUAGCUGAUCUGAGAGGAUGAUCAGCCACACUGGGACUGAGAUACGGCCCAGACUCCUACGGGAGGCAGCAGUUAAGAAUCUGCGCAAUGGGCAAAGCCUGACGCAGCGACGCCGCGUGGAGAUGAC